CCUACGGGUGGCAGCAGUGAGGAAUAUUGGUCAAUGGACGAGAGUCUGAACCAGCAAAGUAGCGUGAAGGAUGACUGCCCUAUGGGUUGUAAACUUCUUUUAUAUGGUCAUAAAACGUUCCACGUGUGGGAUUUUGUAUGUACCAUAUGAAUAAGGAUAGGCUAACUCCGUGCCAGCAGCCGCGGUAAUACGGAGGAUCCGAGCGUUAUCCGGAUUUAUUGGGUUUAAAGUGAGCGUAGGUGGAUUGUUAAGUCAGUUGUGAAAGUUUGCGGCUCAACCGUAAAAUUGCAGUUGAAACUGGCAGUCUUGAGUACAGUAGAGGUGAGCGGAAUUCGAGGUGUAGCGGUGAAAUGCUUAGAUAUCACGAAGAACUCCGAUUGCGAAGGCAGUUCACUGGACUGCAACUGACACUGAGGCUCGAAAGUGUGGGUAUCAAACAGGAUUAGAUACCCCAGUAGUC
rnacentral:rRNA from 1 species